rnacentral:rRNA from 1 species
ACAGAGGUGCCAAGCGUUAGGCGGAAUCACUGGGCUUAAAGCGUGUGUAGGCGGGUCGUUAAGUGUCUUGUGAAAUCCCCCGGCUCAACCGGGGAAUGGCUGGGCAUACUGGCGAUCUUGAGCAGUCUAGGGGCAGAUGGAACAGACGGUGGAGCGGUGAAAUGCGUAGAUAUCGUCUGGAACGCCAAAGGUGAAAACAGUCUGCUGGGGACUUGCUGACGCUGAGACACGAAAGCCAGGGGAGCGAACGGGA